UACGAAGGGAGCUAGCGUUAUUCGGAAUUACUGGGCGUAAAGCGCACGUAGGCGGCUUUGUAAGUUAGAGGUGAAAGCCCAGGGCUUAACCCUGGAAUUGCCUUUAAGACUGCAUCGCUAGAAUCGUGGAGAGGUGAGUGGAAUUCCGAGUGUAGAGGUGAAAUUCGUAGAUAUUCGGAAGAACACCAGUGGCGAAGGCGACUCACUGGACACGUAUUGACGCUGAGGUGCGAAAGCGUGGGGAGCAAACAGG
rnacentral:rRNA from 1 species